rnacentral:misc_RNA from 1 species
GAACGCACCUUGCACCCAUUGGUAUUCCAAAGGGUAUGCUCGUUUGAGUGUCAUUGUACUCUCACACUCCAAUUUUGGAGAAGUGGACUUGGGUGUUGCUGCUUUGCGGUGGCUCAUCUUAAAUAUGCUAGUGCAACUCAUGGUUGGAUAUAGUACAGCGUGAUAAGUAUCUUCGCUGGCGCCUCAUGAAGAGGGUAUCUGAUUGGGAGCUCUGUGCUUCUAACUGUCCCCGCCUGGGACAAUCUCUGACAACUUGACCUCAAAUCGAGUAGGACUACCCGCUGAACUUAAG